rnacentral:rRNA from 1 species
AGCUUGCUUUUUAAGCUUAGUGGCGGACGGGUGAGUAACGCGUGAGCAACCUGCCUUUAUCAGGGGGAUAACGCAUCGAAAGAUGUGCUAAUACCGCGUAAGACCACAGCUUCACAUGGGGCAGGGGUCAAAGGAGCAAUCCGGAUAAAGAUGGGCUCGCGUCCGAUUAGCUAGUUGGUGAGAUAACAGCCCACCAAGGCGACGAUCGGUAGCCGACCUGAGAGGGUGAUCGGCCACAUUGGAACUGAGAGACGGUCCAGACUCC